rnacentral:rRNA from 1 species
UACGAGGGGAGCAAGCGUUGUUCGGAUUUACUGGGCGUAAAGGGCGCGUAGGCGGUCGUGACAAGUCACUUGUGAAAUCUCCGGGCUUAACUCGGAACGGUCAAGUGAUACUGUCGGACUAGAGUACAGAAGGGGCAACUGGAAUUCUACGGUGUAGCGGUGAAAUGCGUAGAUAUCGAGAGGAACACCUGCGGCGAAGGCGGGUUGCUGGGCUGAUAACUGA